GUUAUCAUCAGUUGCAUCCGAUUUGACAGCUUACUACAUGUUUCAUAACAUUUUUGUGGAUUUUUUUUCCUUUAACGAAAACUCGAGCAAUCAAUUCUCAUCUCAAUAGCCAAAUUAACAAAUUGGUGUUUCUUCAAUCGCGCAAAACAAAUAGAUUUUAGUAAAUGAACAGCUGUACAUAUGUUAUCGUUGGUAACCGUAGAAGUUAUCCCCGCUAUCCACUUAGCUUCGGCAUUUGAAUUUUUUUUUUUUAAUUUUUCAUCGCUGUAGCUAACUACGAUUACAAUUACGACGUGGCAAUGGCAGCAACACAGGUUCACGAGUUCAAUGUUGAAAUGACCUGCGGAGGCUGCUCUGGAGCGGUUGAACGUGUCCUGGGUAAUAAAGCUGGUAUCGAGAAUGUCAAGAUUGACUUGCCUGGUAAGAAAGUAUUUGUGACUACUCCACUAUCGUCAGACGAGGUGUUAGAAUACAUAAAAAAGACUGGGAAGUCUUGUACCUAUGUCGGUACGCAAAAAUGAAUGCAAUCUUCUAUUCAAUUCUCUGUACAAAGGCGGCUGGCUGGUUAAUAACGUUGAAUGUUUUUACACUUCGUCAAGAAGUAUGAGGAUUUCCUGAGCAAAGACUUUCCAUGUUUACCGCUUUAUUAUCUUACAUUUUACGUGUAUUAAAUUGUAAUGGUUAUCAAAUAAAUAUUAUCACAUUUACAAAAACACAUAUAGACUAGCAGUUUCAUUGUAAAUUGUCAUGUGAAGUAAUAAUCCAGGUCAUAUAAACCAACACACGACCAGUACAAUAGGAAUACUCAUUACAAUGAAAUGUAGAAUCCAUCAAGUUCGGAGUGACAUGGGGGGACUCAAUACAGGAAUUUUAACAUUCAUACUUACUUGGUCCAGCUUCUAGUAGACGUCCAUUUCUUCUCGAGCGUAGGAAUACCCGUACAUUAUAUAAAAAAUAUAUUUGCUAGUGAUCGAAAAAAGAGAUUCGAUCCUGCUGGGAUGAUUUCUUAACUUAUUUGGCACCUUACAAUUUAUCUCUGCUCAUCACGAUCAUACUGUACCUUGGAACGAGAUCAAAUCAAAUUCUCCAGCUCUCUUUCCACCAUUCCCAAACGCUCCUCCAUGAGAACGAUGGUGUUACGUAAAGAUUCUACUUGUCCGCUCAGCGCUUCUACUACUGCGCUGCUUCGGCUAGGAGACUCACUACCAGGACGAGUCCCAUGCUGGCACAGUGGAAGAUCAGCUAUGUGACCAACCUCCGCUGGUCGUUUUAAUCUCAUAUUUAUCACCUCGACGUCCUCGCGGUCUCUUGAAAUACUAGCAAGUGGUCCUCUGCAAGCACCUCCUUUAUCCACAGUUUCGUCAUCCUCAAAGUCUGCCACGGAAUCGGACUCGUACUGGACAAAAUGCAACGUUG
rnacentral:misc_RNA from 1 species